AUUGAACGCUGGCGGCAUGCUUUACACAUGCAAGUCGAACGGUAACAGGGUGCUUGCACCGCUGACGAGUGGCGAACGGGUGAGUAAUGCAUCGGAAUGUACCGUGUAAUGGGGGAUAGCUCGGCGAAAGCCGGAUUAAUACCGCAUACGCCCUGAGGGGGAAAGUGGGGGACCGAAAGGCCUCACGUUAUACGAGCAGCCGAUGUCUGAUUAGCUAGUUGGUGAGGUAAAGGCUCACCAAGGCGUCGAUCAGUAGCGGGUCUGAGAGGAUGAUCCGCCACACUGGGACUGAGACACGGCCCAGACUCCUACGGGAGGCAGCAGUGGGGAAUUUUGGACAAUGGGCGCAAGCCUGAUCCAGCCAUGCCGCGUGUCUGAAGAAGGCCUUCGGGUUGUAAAGGACCUUUGUCCGGGAGCAAAUCCUAGUGGUUAAUAACCGCUGGGUCUGAGAGUACCGGAAGAAUAAGCACCGGCUAACUACGUG
rnacentral:rRNA from 1 species